rnacentral:sRNA from 1 species
GCCAGGCAUGGUGGCAUAUGCCUGUAAUCCCAGCUGCUUGGGAAGCUGAGGCAGGAGGAUCGAGAGUUCAAAGCCAGCCUUGGCAACUUAGCAAGGCUCUGAGCAACUUACUGAGAGAUCCUGUGUCUA